rnacentral:rRNA from 1 species
AUGGGCAGCUCGUUCGGGCUCGUGGACUUCAGGGGGAGGCCGGUUGACACCCGCAGGCAUGGAGGAGUUAGAGCUUCCAUGUUCAUUUACAUCAUGGUGUGGCUCGGCAACGUGGUCAACAUUGCCAAGUGCCAACAGCAUGAACAUGGUGAGCUACCUCCGCGGGACGAUGAACAUGGGCGUCGCCGCGGCGGCGACCACCAGCACCAACUUCGUCGCCGCGCUGCUGAUGUUCACCGUCCCGGCGGCUUUCCUCGCCGACUCAUACGUCAAGCGCUUCUACACGGUCCUCAUAUUCGCCCCGUUGAGAUUUUGGGUUACAUCCUGCUAGCCAUCCAAUCACACGUCCCCUCGCUUCACCCGCCGGCGUGCAUCGUCAACGAGCCACAUAACUGCGAGCCAGUGCACGACACCAACCUAAGUCUGCUACUCCUUGGCAUGUACAUGAUCUGUGUCGGUGAGGGAGCCAUCCGGGCAUGCCUACCAGCGCUCGGUGGCGACCAGUUCGACAAUGCUGACCCCGUUGAACGGCGGUUGGAGUCGAGCUUCUUCAACUGGUACACCUUCUCUGUGUCAAUGGGAUCCUUCUUCGGGCUCAUCUUCGUCGUGUGGCUGGAGAACAACAAAGGGUGGGGUGUUGGCUUUGCUGUGUGCGCUGCGAUUGUGCUGCUUGGGUUGCUCAUUUGGGCGGCUGGGUUCCCUUUCUAUCGCAACCAGGUGCCAGCUGGGAGCCCCAUCACUAGGAUUAUGCAGGUAAUUAUAGUAGCGUGCAAGAAAAGGAAUCUUAAGCUACCCGCGAACCCUGACGACGACCUAAACCAGAUGACUGAUGAUGAUGCUAAAGGCCUCGAGGUGCUACAAAGAACAGAAGGCUUACAGUUCCUGGACAAAGCAGCAAUAAAAAUAGAGAACGGAGCGAGAGGGCCAUGGUCGCUCUGCAACGUGACACAGGUGGAGGAGACCAAGAUCGCAUGCCGCAUGGUCCCGAUCUUCCUGACCUCGGCGGUCGGCUACAUGCCCGUGUCCAUCAUCCUCAACUUCACCGUCCAGCAGGGCAACACCAUGGACACGAGGCUGGGCGCGAUCCGCGUGUCGCCCGCGACGCUCUUCGUCAUCCCGACCGUCUUCCAGCUGGUGAUCCUGGUCGCGUACGACCGGCUGCUCGUCCCGCUCCUGCGCAGGGCCACCGGCUACGUCGGCGGCGUCACGCACCCCCAGCGCAUCGGCGUGGGCUUCGUGGCCGCGGUGCCGGCCAGCGCCGUCGCGGCGCUCGUGGAGGCGAGGAGGAAGACGGUGGCGGAAGGGAGCGGCCUCGUGGACUCGCCCGCCGGCGGGGUCCCGAUGUCGGUCUUCUGGCUGACGCCGCAGUUCUUCCUGCUCGGGGUGGUGGACGUCACCUCCUUCGUCUGUUGGCUUUUGAUCGUUGCUAGAUCAAAACCACCCAGGAGCUAA